rnacentral:rRNA from 1 species
AAAUUGGCAGCUCUGAUCAUGGCCAGAUUGAAGCUGGCGGCAGGCCUAACACAUGCAAGUCGAACGGUAACAGUGGUGCCAGCUGCUGCUUUGCUGGACGAGUGCGACGGUGAGUAAAUGUCUGGGAAACCGCCCGGAUGGAGGGGGGGAUAACUACUGGAAACGGUGGCUAAUACCGCAUAACGUCGCAAGACCAAAGAGGGGUAACCUUCGCCUCUUUGCCAUCAGAUGCCCAGAUGGGAUUAGCUUGUUGGUGAGUAAAACGGCUCACCAAGGCGACGAUCCCUCGCUGGUCUGAGAGGAUGACCAGCCACACUGAACUGAGACACGGUCCAGACUCCUUACUGGAGCAGCAGUGGGGGAAUAUUGCACAAUGGGCGCGCAAGCCCGAUGCAGCCAUGCCGCGUGGCGCGAAAUAGAAGGCCUUCGGGUUGUAAAAGUACUUUCAGCGCGAAGGUGUUGUGGUUAAUAACCUGUUAAAUUGACGUUACCCGCAGAAGAAGCACCGGCUAACCCGUGCCAGCAGCCGCGGUAAUAGAGGCGCAAGCGUUAAUCGGAACCAUUGGGCGUAAAGCGCACGCAGGCGGUCUGGUCAAGUCGGAUGAAAUCCCUGGCCCAAACCCCGGGAACUGCAUUCGAAACCGGCAGGCUUCUUGAGUCUUGUAGAGGGGGGUAGAAUUCCGUGUGUAGCGGUGAAAUGCGUAGAGAGAUCUGAGGAAAUACCGGUGGCGAAGGCGGCCCCCGGACAAAGACUGACGCUCAGGUGCGAAAGCGUGGGGAGCAAACAGGAUUAGAUACCCGGUAGUCCACGCCGUAAACGAUGUCUACUUGAGGUUGUGCCCUUGGAGGCGUGGCUUCCGGAGCACGCGUUGGGUAGACCGCCCGGGGAGUACGGCCGCAAGGUUAAAACUCAAAUGAAUUGACGGGGCCCGCACAAGCGGUGGAGCAUGUGGUUUAAUUCGAUGCAACGCGAAGAACCUUAACACCGUAGUCUUGACAUCCACGGAAGUUUUCAGAGAUGAGAAUGUGCCUUCGGGAACCGUGAGACAGGUGCCGUACGGCUGUCGUCAGCUCGUGUUGUGAAAUGUUGGGUUAAGUCCCGCAACGAGCGCAACCCCUUAUCCUUUGCUGCCAGCGGUUAGGCCGGGAACUCAAAGGAGACCGCCAUGAUAAACUGAGGAAGGUGGGAUAUCAAGUCAUCAUGGCCCUACGACCGUGGCUACACACGUGCUACAAUGGCGCAUACAAAGAGAAGCGACCUCGCGAGAGCAAGCGGACCUCAUAAAGUGCGUCGUAGCCCGAUUGAGUCUGCAACUCGACCCAUGAAGUCGGAAUCGCUAGUAAUCGUGGAUCAGAAUGCCACGUGAAUACGUUCCCGGCCUUGUACACACCGCCUCGUCACACCAUGGGAGUGGGUUGGGCACAGUAAAAGAAGUAGGUAGCUUAACCUCGGGAGGGCGCUUACCACUUUGUGAUUCAUGACUGGGGUGAAGUCGUAACAAGGUAACCGUAGGGGAACCUGCGGUUGAUCAACACCCCUA